AGUGAACGCUGGCGGCGUGCUUAACACAUGCAAGUCGAACGAGAACGGGUUAUAGCUUGCUAUAAUUGUCAGCUAAGUGGCGCACGGGUGAGUAAUGUAUAGGUAAUAUGCCUCUUACUAAGGGAUAACAAAUGGAAACGCUUGCUAAUACCUUAUACUCCUUAUUAACAGAAGUUAAUAAGGGAAAGAUUUAUUGGUAAGAGAUUAGCCUGUAUUGUAUCAGUUAGUUGGUGGGGUAAUGGCUUAACAAGACUAUGACACAUAACUGGUUUGAGAGGAUGAUCAGUCACACUGGAACUGAGACACGGUCCAGACUCCUACGGGAGGCAGCAGUGGGGAAUAUUGCACAAUGGACGAAAGUCUGAUGCAGCAACGCCGCGUGGAGGAUGACACAUUUCGGUGCGUAAACUCCUUUUAUAUGAGAAGAUAAUGACGGUAUUAUAUGAAUAAGCACCGGCUAACUCCGUGCCAGCAGCCGCCGCCG
rnacentral:rRNA from 1 species